UCCCAUCUAGCUCAUAUCAUAGUUAGUUUUUGUGAAACCCUUGCGACAUCAGUACUUUGAAGUACCUAGCAAGUUCAUCAAACACAUUUUUCGAUUUAGGAUUACAAAAGUAGUUGUUUGAUUGCAAUCAUGUUUGCUCGCGUUCUUAUCGUAUGUAUUAUUUUUUCCUCGAUGAUCAUGAAAAUGGAUGCAGCAAUAGCUCUCAGUCAGCAAGAAUACGCAAAUGGAGGAGCAGACGUAUGUGACAACCCCGACCUUAAUGGACUUUGUUCAACCCACUUCGGGACUGGAUGUACAGGAAAUUGUGAGGAAGCUUGGAUAAGAUUCUCAUGGAAUAAUUCAAAUAGAGCAAAAAUUUUACUUUGCCGAAGAAAUAAUGCUGUUCAGGGAUGCCUGUAUAAUAAUAAGGGUACCGUUACAAAAACUGGUUGGGUAGACGGAAACGAGUGUGCUUAAAAUACACUAACACAAAGAAAACUGAUUUCCACCCUCUAAGUAUUUUGAAAUAGUUCUUCAAGACAGCCUCGUUCAUCAUAUCUGCUAUUUGGAAGAAUUAUCUCAAAAUACCUAGCUGUUGGAAAUUGCUUCUCUUUGUAUCCUUUUGAAAAAUUUUAAGUUAAGUUUUAUUGUUAUUAUUUUAUUCGAUUAGGUAGGUACCUAUAUUAAUUUAAAUAGUUUAUAUUAUAAAUUUUCACCAACGUGAAGUACGAAGUAGAUAAAUUUAUUAUAAUCAAAUAUUUCCCCUAAGGCCACGUUUUGUUUACAUUAAUAAUUAAUUUUACUUGUUUAAAUAUAUCUAUAAGCGCAAUUAA